rfam:Sphaerochaeta globosa str. Buddy, complete genome.
GGUUCCUUCGUCUAAUGGUUAGGACAGGAGAUUCUCAGUCUCUAAAUAGGGGUUCGAUUCCCCUAGGAACUA